GAAAAAUAGCUGAUCAGUGUUGAAUCAAUUCGGGUGGUAAACUCGUGUUUUGGAAAACCAUUAAACUCUUGUUUGUCUACCAAGAAAAGAAAUUAAAUCAGAAGGAAAUGAUGUGUAUAUCUGUGUGCGCGUGUAUCUAUAUACUUGUUUUUUGAAAAGUGAAAACCAAAUGCCUUAAAUUAUGCCAAAACUGGUUUUUGGAUGAGUUGAUGAAUGGGGUUUUUCUCUUUUUUCCAAAUUGUCCUUCU
rnacentral:misc_RNA from 1 species